GGGCGGUUAGCUCAGAUGGUUAGAGUACUUGCUUGACAUGCAAGGGGUCACCCGUUCAAAUCGGGUACCGCCCACCA
rnacentral:tRNA from 1 species